CGACCUGGUAUUGCAGUACUUCC
rnacentral:piRNA from 1 species